GAUGAACGCUGGCGGCGUGCCUAAUACAUGCAAGUCGAGCGAACGGACGAGAAGCUUGCUUCUCUGAUGUUAGCGGCGGACGGGUGAGUAACACGUGUAUAACCUACCUAUAAGACUGGGAUAACUUCGGGACACCGGAGCUAACACCGGAUGAUAUUUUGAACCGCAUGGUUCAAAAGUGAAAGACGGUCUUUCUGUCACUUAUAGAUGGAUCCGCGCUGCAUUAGCUAGUUGGUAAGGUAACGGCGUACCAAGGCAACGAUGCAUAGCCGACCUGAGAGGGUGAUCGGCCACCCGGGAGGUGAGACACGGUCCAGACGCCUACGGGAGGCAGCAGUAGGGAAUCUUCCGCAAUGGGCGAAAGCCUGACGGAGCAACGCCGCGUGAGUGAUGAAGGUCUUCGGAUCGUAAAACUCUGUUAUUAGGGAAGAACAGAUGUGUAAGUAACUGUGCACAUCUUGACGGUACCUAAUCAGAAAGCCACGGCUAACUACGUG
rnacentral:rRNA from 1 species